rnacentral:misc_RNA from 1 species
UCCGUAUUGUUAUCAAUUAAAACCCUUUUCCUCCCAAAGCUUCGCGUGUGUUUCACCAACCCUAAACCAAACCCUUCUUCACAAUCAAAUCCAACACGCCCCGACUUCAUUGAAUUACACCUCUUUCCCAAUGCCAUAUUCCAGCGAAUAUUCAAAAUUCCAAAUAAAAAAUCUUUCCCAAAUCUUUAUAAACCCUAGAUUUGAGAGAGAAAGUGAUCCUGUUAAGGUAAAACCCUUAUAAAUUGCGUUUACAAUGAACACAGAAGCGACAGUACUCCACUCCUUAAG